CACUGGUCGAGUCGGCCUGCGCGGAAGAUGUAACGGGGCUAAACCAUGCACCGAAGCUGCGGCAGCGACGCUGAUGCGUUGUUGGGUAGGGGAGCGUUCUGUAAGCCUGUGAAGGUGUGCUGUGAGGCAUGCUGGAGGUAUCAGAAGUGCGAAUGCUGACAUAAGUAACGAUAAAGCGGGUGAAAAGCCCGCUCGCCGGAAGACCAAGGGUUCCUGUCCAACGUUAAUCGGGGCAGGGUGAGUCGACCCCUAAGG
rnacentral:rRNA from 1 species